GGGCGCUUAGCUCAGGGGUAGAGCGCAUGCUUCGCAUGCUUGAGGUCGAGGGUUCAAUUCCCUCAGUGUCCA
rnacentral:tRNA from 1 species